rnacentral:rRNA from 1 species
UCGGGUGGCGGACGGGUGAGUAACGCGUGAGGAACCUGCCUCAAAGAGGGGGACAACAGUUGGAAACGACUGCUAAUACCGCAUAAGCCCACGACCCGGCAUCGGGAAGAGGGAAAAGGAGCAAUCCGCUUUGAGAUGGCCUCGCGUCCGAUUAGCUAGUUGGUGAGGUAACGGCCCACCAAGGCGACGAUCGGUAGCCGGACUGAGAGGUUGAACGGCCACAUUGGGACUGAGACACGGCCCAG